UACGUAGGGACCAAGCGUUGUUCGGAUUUACUGGGCGUAAAGGGCGCGUAGGCGGCAAUUCAAGUCAUCUGUGAAAUCUCCGGGCUUAACUCGGAACGGUCAGAUGAUACUGCUUUGCUCGAGUGCGGAAGGGGCAAUCGGAAUUCUUGGUGUAGCGGUGAAAUGCGUAGAUAUCAAGAGGAACACCUGAGGUGAAGACGGGUUGCUGGGCCGACACUGACGCUGAAGCGCGAAAGCCAGGGGAACAAACGGG
rnacentral:rRNA from 1 species